rnacentral:rRNA from 1 species
UACGUAGGGUGCAAGCGUUGUCCGGAAUUAUUGGGCGUAAAGAGCUCGUAGGCGGUCUGUCGCGUCGGCUGUGAAAUUUCGGGGCUCAACCCCGAACUUGCAGUGGGUACGGGCAGACUAGAGUGUGGUAGGGGAGACUGGAAUUCCUGGUGUAGCGGUGAAAUGCGCAGAUAUCAGGAAGAACACCGGUGGCGAAGGCGGCUCUCUGGGCCUUACCUGACGCUGAGGAGCGAAAGCGUGGGUAGCGAACAGG